GCAAGACGUCGUUAAGACGGCGACAGCACUGUGAAUGUCCUUGUUUUACUUUUGCUUCUAACUUUUUGACUAUGAAAAGUUUCUGACUCUUGGAUGAUAGUGAAUGAAAAGUUAUAACAGUAUUACAAUGCUCAGGAACAUUCGACUGUUGCGGAAAUUAAUCAUCAAUUGGCUUUGCAUUUUCACCCUUAGAUGUGGACAUUUAUUUCGAUUAUCAUUGGGCUGUUUGAUAUUAUUUGUACUGUACAUAUCUACCUCCUAUCAUUUUGUCAGCAAC